AAGACUUGCCUUUCCAUAUCCUUCUCUCUUGUUUCAUUCUUCCAAGACAAAGAAAUAAAACCACUUACCCUAUCUCAUUCUUAGCCUUUAAAAACUUCAUGAAACCACCAUAAAUUUCUAGUAAAUCAACCAGCAAAAUUCGUUUUUUGGUGAAGAUUAAGUUGCUCCUCUCUUUUGUGGUAAUGUACAGGAUGAAAUCUGAAGACGGCCAUUAUGAAGUAGUCUUUUGGGAGCACUUAUGGAGAUCACAUUUGCAUAUGCACCUUGGUUUUGCAUAGUUUUGGGACAUGUACAUAAUAUAUAUAUUUAUGUAUGUUAUUUGGAGGCUUGUUGGAUUUUAAGACCAAAAUCUUGUAAUUUAAAUUUGGUAACUUAUUUCGCUGUUUUUGUGUGUGUUAAUAACUCAAGUCUUGUAAUAUGCUAAAUUUACACUUUGUCUUGUAAGUAUGUAUAAUACAAACUUGCAGUGAUGUUGAAUGAAAGUAUAAAUUUGUUAGGAAGUUGCUUUAA